rnacentral:rRNA from 1 species
AACGUAGGGGGCGAGCGUUGUUCGGAAUCAUUGGGCGUAAAGCGCGUGUAGGCGGUCGAUCAAGUCGGGUGUGAAAGCUCCGGGCUUAACCCGGAAAGUGCAUCUGAAACUGGUCGACUUGAGUCUGGAAGAGGAAAGUGGAAUUCCUGGUGUAGCGGUGAAAUGCGCAGAUAUCAGGAAGAACACCAGUGGCGAAGGCGGCUUUCUGGGCCACGACUGACGCUGAGACGCGAAAGCUAGGGGAG